AGAGUUUGAUCAUGGCUCAGAUUGAACGCUGGCGGCAGGCCUAACACAUGCAAGUCGAACGGUAACAGGAAUCAGCUUGCUGAUUCGCUGACGAGUGGCGGACGGGUGAGUAAUGUCUGGGAAACUGCCUGAUGGAGGGGGAUAACUACUGGAAACGGUAGCUAAUACCGCAUAAUGUCGCAAGACCAAAGAGGGGGACCUUCGGGCCUCUUGCCAUCGGAUGUGCCCAGAUGGGAUUAGCUUGUUGGUGGGGUAACGGCUCACCAAGGCGACGAUCCCUAGCUGGUCUGAGAGGAUGACCAGCCACACUGGAACUGAGACACGGUCCAGACUCCUACGGGAGGCAGCAGUGGGGAAUAUUGCACAAUGGGCGCAAGCCUGAUGCAGCCAUGCCGCGUGUAUGAAGAAGGCCUUCGGGUUGUAAAGUACUUUCAGCGGGGAGGAAGGGAGUAAAGUUAAUACCUUUGCUCAUUGACGUUACCCGCAGAAGAAGCACCGGCUAACUCCGUGCCAGCAGCCGCGGUAAUACGGAGGGUGCAAGCGUUAAUCGGAAUUACUGGGCGUAAAGCGCACGCAGGCGGUUUGUUAAGUCAGAUGUGAAAUCCCCGGGCUCAACCUGGGAACUGCAUCUGAUACUGGCAAGCUUGAGUCUCGUAGAGGGGGUAGAAUUCCAGGUGUAGCGGUGAAAUGCGUAGAGAUCUGGAGGAAUACCGGUGGCGAAGGCGGCCCCCUGGACGAAGACUGACGCUCAGGUGCGAAAGCGUGGGGAGCAAACAGGAUUAGAUACCCUGGUAGUCCACGCCGUAAACGAUGUCGACUUGGAGGUUGUGCCCUUGAGGCGUGGCUUCCGGAGCUAACGCGUUAAGUCGACCGCCUGGGGAGUACGGCCGCAAGGUUAAAACUCAAAUGAAUUGACGGGGGCCCGCACAAGCGGUGGAGCAUGUGGUUUAAUUCGAUGCAACGCGAAGAACCUUACCUGGUCUUGACAUCCACGGAAGUUUUCAGAGAUGAGAAUGUGCCUUCGGGAACCGUGAGACAGGUGCUGCAUGGCUGUCGUCAGCUCGUGUUGUGAAAUGUUGGGUUAAGUCCCGCAACGAGCGCAACCCUUAUCCUUUGUUGCCAGCGGUCCGGCCGGGAACUCAAAGGAGACUGCCAGUGAUAAACUGGAGGAAGGUGGGGACGACGUCAAGUCAUCAUGGCCCUUACGACCAGGGCUACACACGUGCUACAAUGGCGCAUACAAAGAGAAGCGACCUCGCGAGAGCAAGCGGACCUCAUAAAGUGCGUCGUAGUCCGGAUUGGAGUCUGCAACUCGACUCCAUGAAGUCGGAAUCGCUAGUAAUCGUGGAUCAGAAUGCCACGGUGAAUACGUUCCCGGGCCUUGUACACACCGCCCGUCACACCAUGGGAGUGGGUUGCAAAAGAAGUAGGUAGCUUAACCUUCGGGAGGGCGCUUACCACUUUGUGAUUCAUGACUGGGGUGAAGUCGUAACAAGGUAACCGUAGGGGAACCUGCGGUUG
rnacentral:rRNA from 1 species